GGGCUUUUUAGUUAAUUAUCCUAUGCAGGGAAUUAAGCAUUUAAUGUGGCCCUCCUAUGGGUUGAAUUACAGCACCUUUUGACACUGAGAGUCUAUGAUAUCCCAACACUCUUAUGAGAGUCUAGCUCUGUCACCCAGGCUGGAAUUCAGUGGCGUGAUCUUGGUUCCCUGCAACCUCCACCUCUCGGGCUCAAGUGAUUCUCCUGCCUCAGCCUCCUGAGUUGCUGAGAUUACAGACGUCCGCCACCACACCCAGCACUUUGAACGAUGCUGUACCGACAUAACCAGGAAAUGCUGAUGAAAUUAGUCAAUGAAUGAAUGAAUGAUGCAACCUGUAGAAUCUGUGUGAAC